CCAUCAUCAUCAUCUUCAUUCAACAUGCUCUCCCUGCAGAACUCAGCUUUUUCUCUGAUAUGUUUUGCAAUCUUAUCAGGCGUCAGCUGUGAAGAUCUGACUCCAGUCAAAACAGAAGAGUUCAGUCCAGAAGGCAGCACUGUUACUCUGUCCUACAGAUACUCCAAACAAGCAGCGGGUGAUGAUUAUUUCUUCUGGUAUCGACAAUAUCCAGGAGAACCACCAGAGUUGCUCCUGUCUAUCUCAGGGGUUAAUUUCACAAAAAAAGCAGAAUCACUUAAAUCGGACACCAGGUUCUUCACUGACCUGUCUGAAGGAAAGAAACGAGUGGAUCUGCAGAUCUCCUCUGCUGCAGUGACAGACUCUGCUGUGUACUACUGUGCUGUGGAGCCCACAGUGACAGGAAACAGUUCAAAUAAUUAA